rnacentral:rRNA from 1 species
UGCCAGCCGCCGCGGUAAUACGAAGGGGGCUAGCGUUGUUCGGAAUUAUUGGGCGUAAAGCGCGUGUAGGCGGUUCGUUAAGUCUGAUGUGAAAGCCCGGGGCUCAACCCCGGAAGUGCAUUGGAAACUGGCGAACUUGAGUACGGGAGAGGAAAGUGGAAUUCCGAGUGUAGGGGUGAAAUCCGUAGAUAUCGGAAGGAACACCAGUGGCGAAGGCGACUUCCUGGGCCAAUACUGACGCUGAGGUGCGAAAGCGUGGGGAGCAAACGGGAUUAGAUA